ACGGCCGCAAGGUUGAAACUCAAAGGAAUUGACGGGGACCCGCACAAGCGGUGGAUGAUGUGGUUUAAUUCGAUGCAACGCGAAAAACCUUACCUACCCUUGACAUGUCAAGAAUUUUGCAGAGAUGUGAAAGUGCUCGAAAGAGAGCUUGAACACAGGUGCUGCAUGGCCGUCGUCAGCUCGUGUCGUGAGAUGUUGGGUUAAGUCCCGCAACGAGCGCAACCCUUGUCAUUAGUUGCUACGAAAGGGCACUCUAAUGAGACUGCCGGUGACAAACCGGAGGAAGGUGGGGAUGACGUCAGGUCCUCAUGGCCCUUAUGGGUAGGGCUACACACGUCAUACAAUGGCCGGUACAGAGGGUUGCCAACCCGCGAGGGGGAGCUAAUCCCAGAAAACCGGUCGUAGUCCGGAUCGUAGUCUGCAACUCGACUGCGUGAAGUCGGAAUCGCUAGUAAUCGCGGAUCAGCUUGCCGCGGUGAAUACGUUCCCGGGUCUUGUACACAC
rnacentral:rRNA from 1 species